UGAUCCUGGCUCAAUUGAACGCUGGCGGCACGCAUAACACAUGCAAGUCGAACGGCAGCACAUAUGUAUUUCGGUACAUAGGGUGGCGAGUGGCGAACGGGUGAGUAACGCGUAGGGAUCUGCCCCGAAGAGGGGGAUAACCCGGGGAAACUCGGGCUAAUACCGCAUAAGUCUUAAGAGAGAAAGGUGUGCCACUGAAUGUAAGCACACGCUUUGGGAUGAACCUGCGUCCGAUUAGCUAGUUGGUAGGGUAAAGGCCUACCAAGGCGAUGAUUGGUAGCUGGUCUGAGAGGACGGACAGCCACACUGGGACUGAGACACGGCCCAGACUCCUACGGGAGGCAGCAGUGGGGAAUAUUGGACAAUGGGGGCAACCCUGAUCCAGCGAUGCCGCGUGUGUGAAGAAGGCCUGCGGGUUGUAAAGCACUUUCAGUGGGGAGGAAGUCAUUUAGGUGAAUAGCCUGGAUGCUUGACGUUACCCACAGAAGAAGCACCGGCUAACUCUGUGCCAGCAGCCGCGGUAAUACAGAGGGUGCGAGCGUUAAUCGGAAUAACUGGGCGUAAAGGGCGCGUAGGUGGGUAGAUAAGUAAGUUGUGAAAUACCUGGGCUUAACCUGGGGGAGCCGGCUUAGACUGUUUGCCUUGAGUACAGUAGAGGGAAGUGGAAUUUCCGGUGUAGCGGUGAAAUGCGUAGAUAUCGGAAGGAACACCAGUGGCGAAGGCGACUUUCUGGACUGAUACUGACACUGAGGCGCGAAAGCGUGGGUAGCGAACAGGAUUAGAUACCCUGGUAGUCCACG
rnacentral:rRNA from 1 species